AUGAGAUUUCCCAUUACGUAAGUAAGUAAGAUCCCUUGAAGAUGACGAGGUAGAUAGGUUCGGGGUGGAAGUGUGGCGAGACAUGGAGCUGACGAAUACUAAUCGAUCGAGGACUUAACCAAU
rnacentral:rRNA from 1 species